rnacentral:rRNA from 1 species
GCCAGACUCCUACGGGAGGCAGCAGUGGGGAAUAUUGGACAAUGGGGGGAACCCUGAUCCAGCGACGCCGCGUGAGUGAAGAAGUAUUUCGGUAUGUAAAGCUCUCUCAGCAGGGAAGAAGAAAGACGGUACCUGAGUAAGAAGCCCCGGCUAACUACGUGCCAGCAGCCGCGGUAAUACGUAGGGGGCAAGCGUUAUCCGGAUUUACUGGGUGUAAAGGGAGCGUAGACGGUAUGGCAAGUCUGAAGUGAAAGCCCCGGGCUCAACCUGGGAACUGCUUUGGAAACUGUUAAACUAGAGUGCUGGAGAGGCGGGCGGAAUUCCUAGUGUAGCGGUGAAAUGCGUAGAUAUUAGGAGGAACACCAGUGGCGAAGGCGGCCUGCUGGACAGUAACUGACGUUGAGGCUCGAAAGCGUGGGGAGCAAACAGGAUUAGAUACCCGAGUAC